rnacentral:lncRNA from 1 species
ACACACCUCCCUGCAGCCUGGCACUGGAAACUGCUGAGCCAUGCAGGGCAGCCUGGUGGCGGCUAGGACACUUCUGCAGAGGACCUGGAGUUGGGCUGCUCCCGGGGCUCCCAUCUCUUGCUGGGUCUGUUUUCAGGUGCACCCUCCUCCUCCAGGAGGCAGGGGCAAGACCAGCUUCAGCCCUUCUUGCUCUCCAUGGUCUGUAUAUGGACAGGGUGUGGGCCCGGGGAGACAGUUGUGUGGUGUGUGCAUUGUGUGUGUGGGGGGGGUUGUCUGUGUGUCUGUGAAUAUUUGUGUGAUAUGUGUGUAGUAUGCUCAUGUGUCAUGACUCUGUGAGGGUGUGAUGGAAGAGUGUGUGUAAGAGAGAAGUUUGAGUGUGUGUGGUGUGUGCAUCUGGUGUCUGUGGGUGAUGUUUGUGUACAUAGUGUCUGUGUGUGUGAUGUCGGUGUGUUGUGUGGGUUUGUGUGUGUAUAUAGUGUCUGUGUGUGUGAUGUCAGCGUGUUGUGUAAGGAUUUAUGUGUGUGUGUGGUGUCUGUGUUUGUGAUGUUGGUGUGUUGUGUGUGGGUCUAUGUUUGUGUGUGAUGUUGGUGUGUGUGAUAUCAGUGUGUUGUGUGUGGGUUUAUGUGUGUGUGUGUGAUGUCUGUGUCUGAUGGUGUGUUUUGUGUGGGAUUGUGUGUGUGUGUGUGGUGUCUGUGUGUGUGAUGUCAGUGUGUUGUGUGUGGGUUUAUGUGUGUGAUGUCGGUGUGUGUGAUGUCAGUGUGUUGUGUGUGGGUUGAUAUGUGUAUGUGUGAUGUUGGUGUGUUGUGUGUGCAUUUAUGUGUGUGUGGUGUCUGUGUGUGUGAUGUCAGUGUGUUGUGUGUGGGUGUAUAUUUGUGCAUCAUGUCAGUGUGUGUGAUGUCAGUGUGUUGUGUGUGGGUUUAUGUGUGUGUCUGAUUUUGGUGUGUUGUGUAUGGGUUUAUGUGUGUGUGGUGACUGUGUGUGAUGUUGGUGUGUUGUGUGGGUUUAUGUGUGUGGUGUCUGUGUGUAUGAUGUCAGUGUGUUGUGUAGGUUUAUGUGUAUGUGAUGUUGGUGUGUGUAAUGUCAGUGUGUUGUGUGUGGGUUUAUAUGUGUUUGUGUGAUAUUGGUGUGUUGUGUGUGGGUUUAUGAGUGUGCAUGGUGUCUGUGUGAUGUUGGUGUGUUGUGUGGGUUUGUGUGUGUGGAUGUGGUUUCUGCCUAUGGGAGGAGGUUUGCUCACAGAUGGAGGAGAAGGAGCUCUAUAGGCAAAGAUCCCAGGGCCGUGGAGGAGGAGACACAGUCCUGAGAACUCCUUCCUCUGAAUCAGAAGGACAGGAAAGGUGGGAUUUUAAAGGAACAGAGAACCCUGGUGGGAGAGGUGAAUCUGAGCUCCUCGGGCCAUCGGGUGUCCUGUGGAGCAGAGGCAGGCCCGUGAGGGUGAUUUUCAGAAUGCUGCCUGCUUCUGAGAGUGAGAUGAAGACCCUCUGGGGUCCCGUUGAUGUCACCAAUGUCGCCUGUCUUGAGGCAUCUCUGGUCCAGACCUGGCUGGGAGAGAGAGCUAUGGGUGGAGAUGCACUUAGAGAAGAUCACACGCAAGAGCUUGGAAGUCCUGGGAGGAAGUAUGAUCCCGAAUCCUGGCACACUUGAUCAUGCGUGACAGGGACUUAAGAAAGCCCCUAAUUAUAGCCGUGUGGGGUUUGUCUCCCUUCUGAAGCUUGGCGCCCGUGUGCUCAAGGCAAGGGCGUGACCAAGGUAAGAGACCCCUUCUCUCCCUUAGGCAGAAGUCCUAGCAGAGUAUGCCCACGCUGGUUAGUGCUGCUGCAAAGAUGAGCCGAAGACCAUGAGAGACCUCCAGGUGGUCCUUCUGGGGAGAAGAAAUGGGUUUUGGCCCCAAAUCCUUCUGCUGCAUUUUUCCCCUAUCCCUGGGAAGCCAUGAGACCUCAAACCUGUGUUCCCAAGGAGGCGAGCUGCUGUUCCCAGGUGAUGAUAUGAUGUGCUUGGGGAAAGUAAGUGGCUGCCAGACAUGGCUGAGAGCUGUUGUCACUGCCGUCAAGUGCAUGUCUCCAAGCCAUAUCACACGGCGUCCCUCGAUGUGAGGCCACAUGGCAAGUGGGCCGUGGAUCUCCCUCUGCCCUUUGCAAGCACGUAAGACAGCAGAUUUUGCAGAUACCUUGUGGCGCAGGGGAAUUUCCUUUGGCCAGGUCUGAAGAAAUAAAGCAGCAGGCACCGAGAACAAAGCCAAGGCUUUCAAAAGACAAGGAGCCAAAAAACUUACUCAAAAUAAAAGUAGUUUUAAAAUGUCUCUGCCAUUGGUAGUCUCAUUUUCUUUUUAAUGUAGGAAAUAGUCAAGUAUUAAAAUGACCAAAAUGAAACAAGUGCCUCAUGGACUGAGAAGGAAGGAGGA